UCUAUUUUCUCCACACAAAAAUAAAUAAAAGGUUGCUUUGGGGUUUGAGUUUGUUUUUAAUCAACUAAUGGCUCCUCUCUUUCCCAACAGUAUCAAUUCUCCACAUAACCUUGCAGUUACGACAUACAUGUUGGAGCAGGUCGGCAUUGCUUUUCCUGACACAGACAGCGACGUGAUAACAGCUGCUUGCAAGACUUAUUUUGAGUCUUUGAAAAGGAGCCAUCGUCUCGAUCAGCCAGAAAAUGCUCCCCAGAAAAAGAAAUUAAACAAUGCAAUGAAGACUAGACAACGGAAAACAAGGUUGCUGGCCUCCAGGGCUAGAUGUGUACAGACUCCCGCUGAAAUGGCUGUGUGGGCGCAUGCAACCCUUGACCUGAUGUCAGAAGAAGAAGAUGGCGUCGUAGAUGGA